rnacentral:rRNA from 1 species
AGUUUCCUGCUCAGGACGAACGCUGGCGGCGUGCUUAACACAUGCAAGUCGAACGGUGAAGCCCUUCGGGGUGGAUCAGUGGCGAACGGGUGAGUAACACGUGGGCAAUCUGCCCUGCACUCUGGGACAAGCCUUGGAAACGAGGUCUAAUACCGGAUACGACCCUUGAGCGCAUGCUCUUGGGUGGAAAGCUCCGGCGGUGCAGGAUGAGCCCGCGGCCUAUCAGCUUGUUGGUGGGGUGAUGGCCUACCAAGGCGACGACGGGUAGCCGGCCUGAGAGGGCGACCGGCCACACUGGGACUGAGACACGGCCCAGACUCCUACGGGAGGCAGCAGUGGGGAAUAUUGCACAAUGGGCGAAAGCCUGAUGCAGCGACGCCGCGUGAGGGAUGAAGGCCUUCGGGUUGUAAACCUCUUUCAGCAGGGAAGAAGCGCAAGUGACGGUACCUGCAGAAGAAGCACCGGCUAACUACGUGCCAGCAGCCGCGGUAAUACGUAGGGUGCGAGCGUUGUCCGGAAUUAUUGGGCGUAAAGAGCUCGUAGGCGGCUUGUCACGUCGGAUGUGAAAGCCCGGGGCUUAACCCCGGGUCUGCAUUCGAUACGGGCAGGCUAGAGUGUGGUAGGGGAGAUCGGAAUUCCUGGUGUAGCGGUGAAAUGCGCAGAUAUCAGGAGGAACACCGGUGGCGAAGGCGGAUCUCUGGGCCAUUACUGACGCUGAGGAGCGAAAGCGUGGGGAGCGAACAGGAUUAGAUACCCUGGUAGUCCACGCCGUAAACGUUGGGCACUAGGUGUGGGCGACAUUCCACGUCGUCCGCGCCGCAGCUAACGCAUAAGUGCCC